AACACCGGUUCACUGAAAAUUCUAACUUAAAAAAAAGUGUUUUUCUUCAUAUGGUCUUAAGCUACAAGUGUUUUUGGCUGGCUAUUUACAUUUUUAUCCUCCAUUUGUCUUCUCCUAAAACACAUGGUUGUUCCUCUUUAAUUCUUCCACCGGUGAGCUUCUUUUCUUCUGCGACUAUUUUGGUUGUUCUCUUCUUCUCUUUAAUUGUUCUUUAUGCUUAGUUUAGUUGUUUUCUGCGACUGUUUUGAUUUGUGAAAGAAUCAGGUUUUUUAGCUCUUGAUAUUGGAUUGGAAUAUUUCAAUCUCUAAUUUAUGAUGAAAUAAGAAAAAAAUCUUACAGCAAUUGAUUGUUUGAUUUUUUUUAGCGAGAUGGGGCUCAUUUCCUUUUUUUCUAACUUUUCCUGUGACAAACAUUUGCCUUCAAAGGGCAAUGAUGAUGUUGAAGGGUUUUUAAUUUUUUUAUCUUUGUUGUUUUUCACUUCCAAUCCCUGUCCUCUGAAUAUAUAUGAAGAUUGAGUUACAUAAGUUUGCUAUUCUUAAUUGAUGUUGGUUUCACUACUCUAUAUUUAGAUUGUUAAGUAGUUUCAUUGAGUGAGUUUGUAUCUUGUUAACUCUUGACAUUAACUCAGCGAGCACUUUAAGCAUAGAAGUAUAUCUACAUGAUGACCUAUUGGUGGAUGAAUGCACAUUUCUAGGUUCUGGUGUAUAAACUUGUAAAUCAUUAGGCUCCCUUUGAGAGAUUAUCUAUUUUGUGCUAGUCUCAUGUGAUGAAUAUAUUUUGUUUGUCCCCCUACUAUUGCCAAUUGUUGAGAAAAUGAAAUCAACGGAAAUCAACUGGUGGAGUUUUGUUGCCCAAAUCAGCUGUCAAGUUUGAGAGGUACCAGAUAAGGGAGAUAGUUUCAACUGGUGUCGAAGUAAGAAAAGUAAAGCCUAGAAAGAAGGUUAUUUUCUCGGAUAUAAAUGCUUAUGAGGGCAUAUGAAAGUAUUAUUGAUUUAGCAAAUGUUCAUGAUGGAGAAAGUGAUGAUGAUGAUGAUGACGACGAAGAUGGUGAAUCAAACAGUUCAAGUGGUUUUGAAAUGGAAUUAACAAGAGAUGUUAUAGCUUCUAGUUUAAUGAAUUCACUUUAAAUUGUAAAUGCUAAUGUAAAUUUUUUAGUAUAUAUAUUUGGUAUAUAAAUAUUAUCCCUUUUUGAAACUUUAAUCCAAAUACAUGUAAUAUUUUAAUUUGUUA